AGAGUUUGAUCCUGGCUCAGAACGAACGCUGGCGGCGUGCUUAACACAUGCAAGUCGAACGCGAAAGUGGUCUUCGGACUGCGAGUAGAGUGGCGCACGGGUGAGUAACGCGUAAAUAAUCUACCCUGAUGUCUGGAAUAAUUAGCCGAAAGGCUGACUAAUACGGGAUACAUGUUUGCCUGUUGGGGCAAACAGGAAAGGUGGCCUCUAUUUAUAAGCUAUCGCAUUGGGAUGAGUUUGCGUACCAUUAGCUAGUUGGUGGGGUAAGAGCCCACCAAGGCGACGAUGGUUAGCGGGUCUGAGAGGAUGAUCCGCUACACUGGCACUGGAACACGGGCCAGACUCCUACGGGAGGCAGCAGUGAGGAAUAUUGCGCAAUGGGGGCAACCCUGACGCAGCAACGCCGCGUGAGUGAUGAAGGCUUUCGGGUCGUAAAGCUCUGUCAGUAGGGAAGAAAUGAAAACGGUUAAUACCCGUUUUUCUUGACGGUACCUACAAAGGAAGCACCGGCUAACUCCGUGCCAGCAGCCGCGGUAAUACGGAGGGUGCAAGCGUUGUUCGGAUUUAUUGGGCGUAAAGCGCGUGUAGGCGGUUUCUUAAGUCUGAUGUGAAAGCCCUGGGCUCAACCCAGGAAGUGCAUUGGAUACUGGGAGACUUGAAUACGGGAGAGGGUAGUGGAAUUCCUAGUGUAGGAGUGAAAUCCGUAGAUAUUAGGAGGAACACCGGUGGCGAAGGCGGCUACCUGGACCGAUAUUGACGCUGAGACGCGAAAGCGUGGGGAGCAAACAGGAUUAGAUACCCUGGUAGUCC
rnacentral:rRNA from 1 species